rnacentral:lncRNA from 1 species
AUGGCUGCCCAAUGCUCCGGGUGUGUGUUCACGGUGUGUGUGUGCACUUUCGAUGGGUUAAAAGCAGAGCAUGAAUUCCGAGUAUGGGUCACCAUACUUGGCUGUAUGUCAAGUCACAUUAAAACUAGCCUGCAAACCAGCUAUGACCAAACUGGACGAAGAGCUCAAACCACCUUGAUGAACAAGAUUUGCACUCUAUUUUUAAGAUCCGCUUCACUUCAUUCACACUUUACAGAUGACAGAGGAGCCCACUCAACCUAUGUCGCACCGCGUUACUGGAGCACUUCCCAUUGCAAUCAGCAAAGCCAGUGAACGACGUCUUUGAAAUCGCUUGCUCGAAUGAUUACAUUUUGAGAAGUGAUGUAUGUUCCGGAAAGUAAGCAAGGAAAUAAAUAAAUAAAUAUUUUUCUCCUUCCUUUUACCAAACCAAUAAAACCAUAUUUGCUUUCUAAAAUUACAGACUCUGCAACCCUCAUACCUCAGUCGGAUGAACAUAAAAGGAAUUUUAUUUUUUGUAUAUCUGCCCGCAGCUCUUGUUGUAUGUGAGGAAACAGUUUACUUCCUAUACAUAUACCACAACACUGAGAACACAUCACACGUGGCUUUUAUGUAAAAACCAUGUCUUAUUGUCAUGUCACCCCAAAAUGAGGAGUUAAGGACGUAGGUCUAUAGACGUAGGCGGAAUUAUGACAUUACCACCAAAGAGGUAAAAUAAGAAGUUAAUCUGUGACAUUAACCUUUGCUGAUGAAAAAGAGGACAUGAGAAACUUGAACACUGACGUGCACAUGCAUUUCCUGUUUUCAGUGGUUCAAAAUUGACCUAAGUUCUGUAUUUGUGCAUUUUAGAUGUGUGAGUCAUCACUGUUCAGUCAUCAUAAAAAUCCAUUGUGCCUACAUGAAUCGAACAAAACCCAACACUGAUGGAAAACUCUGAAGUAUUUUUGUACCAUGCAAGUGGAAAGCAACCCACAACGCAUCAGUGCUAAAAUAGAUUCUGUGUUAUGAUAUGUUGCAGCCACACUUUGAGGGAACCUCACUCUUAGAUUUUGAGACAAAUUUAGCAUGAAAUCUCUUGCUCACCAGUGGAUCCCCUGCAGUGAAUGGGUGCCAUCAGAAUGAGAGUCCAAACAGCUAAUAAAAACAUCACAAUAAUCCACAAGUAACCCACACCACUCCAGUUCAUCAAUUAACGUCUUGUAAAGUGAAAAGCUGCAAGUUUGUAAGAAACAAAUCCAUCAUAAGAUGUUAAUUGAUGGACUGGAGUCAUGUGUGUUAUUUAUGGAUUAUUGUGAUGUUUUUAACAGCUGUUUGGACUCUCAUUCUGACGGCACCCAUUCACUGCAGAGGAUCCAUUGGUGAGCAAGUGAUGUAAUGAUACAUUUCUCAAAAUCUGCUCUGAUGGAGAAACAAAUUCAUCUUGGAUGGCCCGAGGGUGAGUAAAUUUUCAGGAAAUUUUCAUUUUUGGGUUAACUUUCAAAAAAAUAUAUAUAUUUGUAAACGUUUCAGAAUAAGAUGAAUUAUUGAAUUAACGGAAAUAUAAAAGGAUACUUAAAAACAUCAGACCUCAGAAGUCAUACAUUUUUAGAUAUUCCAACAUUUGGUCACUAUUAAAGACUUUAAUCUACCAAAAGUUACAAACCUGUCUUUUCUCUGAGACCUGUGAUAAUGACAUUAUUCCAGUUUAUCCAUGGCUUCAGCACCAAGGACAGUGGCGAGAAAAGCUGACACGCAGGAUAAAAAAUAUAACAUUCAUCUACUGCCAAGAAACUAAAAAGUAUGUGUGAUCUAAUUUUCAUUUUAGAAGAUGAAUAGGCCCUACUUAUGUAUGUGUUGCUCUUUUAAAGCGGCAUGACCGUUCUGCUACUGUAGCUUUCACUUAACCUGCACUUCCGCUGAUUCAACUGAUUCAACAC